CUCCACCCAAAAAAAGCAGCGAGCCUGAUCCUUCCCCCUCCCUUCUCCUGGAGCCUGCCUGCCUGCCUGAGCUGUGCAGGGGCCUGGUGCUUCCCUCCGCGGCUGCAGUGCCCCCUGGGACCACCCGAGCCGGAGUGCCUGCAGGAGGGUGCUGCCUGGGGAGUGGGGGGCUGCCACUGCCGUGGAGGGAAGUACCAACCUCCCCCUCCCCAGCCCAGGGACCACUCUGCCUGCCAGCCAUUCGCCCUUCCCUCCCCGCCACCAGAGAGGCAGACACAGAUCAUGUGGCCAGAGUGGAGAGACUUCAAAUCUGCAGCACUGAAUCUAGCUCCGCCAAGUCAAAUUAUUUCUGGAAAAUAGUUUGUAGGUCCAGGGGAUGUCCUUUCCAGGGCCACCAGAUGUGACACGCCUCCUCUCCAGACCUGUAGGAUCAACCCCUACAAUCACAUGGCCAUUGUCAUGCCAGCAGGAAGUGAUGUGAGCUCCUUUUAUUUUCCAUCAGUGUCAGGUUACAUGCAGAGAGUGAGCAGGAGGCUUUCUCUGGAAGAUAUCUGUAAAACCUCACAAACUCCUCUUAAAAAACGUCCACAUUUUUGAAUGACUGGCCUGACAUGAACUACAUUUUUUUAAUUAAUACUUAAACAACUGAUAAUUUUCUAAGGGAAUCUCUUUAACUAGAUGCUUUUUCCUACGUGUGGGUUUUUUGUUUGUUUGCCGUUUGCUUUUUUGCUGGGCGGUGGGAGGGGGGAGAGGUUUGUGUAUGCAUGCAUCCAUGCACACAUACACACAUGUUUCCUGGCCUACAAGUUAAUUUCCCUUCAUUCUGCAAAAAGAGCAGUGUAGGCUUGUAUAGGCCUUGGGUCAGAUCCCUUUCAGCUGUCUAGCACUGUUGAAGACUGCCUUCUACCAACUGAGAUUCUGAUUCACUAUUAAGCAAAUGUAAGUAGUGAAUUAAUUCCUGGAAUUAAUUUAAAAGGUCUCUAGCACAGUAUACUUUCUAUAAAUGUGCUGUGCAGAGUGAAGAGAACUUGUUUUAAUGUGCAAUGUAGCCAAAUUCCCAUUCAGCAUUUUUCCCCCCUCUGGGGUGUGAAUAGCUGUUUGGAAGCAGACAGAAAUGCAGAGAGGUGAAGAGAGAGAUUAUGCAGCUGUUACACUGCUACUCUGUCUAGGUAAGGAACAGCAUAACAGUUCAGGGUUCCUGCUCCUGCCUUUGUAAGAAAGGACCCAGGAAAAUCAAUAUUUCACUUUUUCUGUAAACCUCAAAGGCAGUUCUCAGGAAUUUACUAAGAAUGUACUAGGGAUUAGUAGGCUGGCUGUGUUCCUGUAGUUUGGAGUCUGAUUAACAUGGGUCUGGUGAUUACUUGGACUGAAACUGAGGAAAUCGGAGGUGACAUGGUGCUUCAUUGAAGCCAAUCCCAUAAUUGUCACUCAUGUUGCAGUGCUUGAAACUGGCUCAGGACCUCUCAGGAGCUCCCUCAGAAAGUCUGUGAUCAAGAAAAAAAUGCAAAGUUGUAUGUCUAAUCACCUGCACAGCAGUGUUAGAUAUUUCCCUACUAGGUACAGCUCCAUAUGAUAUGACUGUAAACUGCAUCUGACUGGAGGGCCUGGUGGCAAUGUGGUGGAGCUACUUGUGGCAGGGUAGGUCCUACAAAAAACCACAUGGUUGCAAGCUCCAGAGUCAGGAGAAUAUAAGGCACUUUGAAACCCUAGCCCCCACUGCCUUGUGGGUACUUCUUGGUUGUAGAAAGGCUAAAGGACAUCACCCUGACAGAAACACGCCCUCACUGAGGCAUCAGAAACAUUUUUAUAUGUUGUUCUCUGGCAGAAGUUACAACCAUCGAGGCACUGAAUGUCUGGACUCAGUCUGAUCUUUGGAUUCUGUCUCAAUGUUUCUAAAAGCUGUGGCAGGAGAGCUCUGAGUGAGGUCAGGGACAUGCAUCUACCCUUCCACAAAGCAGAUUCAUCAGGCACCUGACUAGACCUCUUAUUUGUACACCAUGAUCUGGAGGACCAACGGUUGCCUACUGCUCCACAAGCACAGUUCGCUUGAGGGUUUGCCAUAAACCCUGCAUAACUGCUGUGGCCCAGGAUCCCUAGUAUGACUGAAUCUCAGUUUGAUCCCUGUCUUCCCUCCUGCUGCAGGGAAGAAACAACCUAUACCAAUCUUAUGUACCUGAUAUGGGUCAGUUAUGCCAAGGCUCCACUAACUCACUGUCCUAGUUUGUAUAUCUGUGUGGGAGAGAAGACCACUGGUCAAGUUCAGGAUAUCCAUAGGGAUGGGCAUCAUAUGGGAGAAUCUUCAUGUGCUUUAAGACAAGAUACAACAAGAACCGAUCUGAUUUAGAUGUCCAGAUGCUGCUGCUGUUGUUUGCAUAAACAAAUGCAGGCAACCACCUGUAAGUUAUAAAGUGGCCACCUUUACUAAAACUUUGGCCCAAAAGAUAAGAUGUCAUCUGUGUCAAGUAAUGUGCGAUAAAAUAGUCCAUAAAGAUAUGUAUGUGAUGUCUGAGUUUUAAUCUUAUAACUGGUUGUAAUUUAUGAAGUCAAAAAAAUUUCCCGCUGAA